UCACAAACUCAAACUAUCAAAAUAGUUGAUUCUACUAAUGGCCUCAUGUGCCUGUCUUUAUUACCCCUACAAGUUCUAUAUCUGCAAUCCUAUUACAAGAGAGAUACUGCAGCUUCCCAGAGCACCUGGUUUUGGUCCAAAAUUUUUUAUAGAGAUUUUUGGACAUACCCCCCCCAAUUUGAAAGUCGAAAUUUGAGAUACCCCCAUUUGAAAAACAAUUUGAGAUACCCCCAAUUCAAGACAGAAGAGCUUUACAGCCGUAGGUGAGUUUUGUGAUGGAUUAUGAUGGACGGCUAAGAUAACACCACAUCUUGAAUUGGGGGUAUCUCAAAUUUUUUUUU
rnacentral:lncRNA from 1 species